AUUCAACUAUGACAACUGUAAGCACUGACGGGAAAAAAUGAAAAAUGAAAAUUCAUAAGCUCAAUCACAGGGGAAAAGCAGAAGAAGCCGGUGAUGAAGAGGAAAUACAGAGGAGUGGCUCUCGGGCUAAUUAUUUUGUGGGCAGAUCACCCAAAGCAAUGGAACCGUUACAAUGGGAUUCCACCGUUGGAGUAAAAACUCCACCGUUGGGAAAAAGCAUUUGCACCGUUGGAGUAAAAACUGCACCGUGGGAAAAAGCAGUGCCGUUAAUAAAAAAACAGUACCGUUAGGGAUUAAGGAAUUGGAAAUUAGGAGGAGCUAUAAAUAACUGCGAAGAGAACUGUAUUAUUAUUCAUUCUCCUUCUUCUUUUAUUGAUGUUUUCCUUCUGUGAAUGUCCUUUUUUCCUCAUUCUCGGUUUGCAGAGAAUGUUCCUUUUUUUCUUUCCAUUGUGAAUGUUCUUAUCUUCUUUUACAUAUGUUUUGUUUCCUUUUCUGUGAAUGUCCAUUUAUCUUCUUUUACAUAUUUUUUCUUUUCUUUUCUAUGAAUGUCCAUCUUUGUCAAUGUUGUGUGCGCACUGUUGUGUCUACUCGUGUUGUUUUUCUGUGCAAUUUAAUUUUCUGAGGUGUUUUGUUAUUUUUCUCCCCUAGCAUUUUGUUGCCUUCUUUUUCAUAGCGGCAGCGAAAAAAGAGGCAGAGAAGAGGAGGUGAAAACACAGGAUGAGAAGAGGCAGAGAAGAGGAGGCGACAACACAGGAUGCUAUGUUAAUAUUGUUGUAUGGCUUUAGUCAGCGACUAUUAGUCCAAUUUUUUUAAGCAUGUAAGUGAUCUUUAAUAUUAUGAAGAUGAUGUUUCAAUCGUUAUUUUUGGUCAUAAUGUUCUGGGUCUUUGUAGUUUUCACACAUAGUUUUCACUAUGGAGUCUAUGAAGGAUCUUGUGCUUGAUCUGGUGUCGUUGCAAACUAAGAAUCAUAGUUUUUGUGUAUUUAAUAGCGUUGAUCUAUAUUUCAGUCUCAAGAUUUGAUGUUAAAUUUGGUUUGAAACAUCACUCUUCAUUCAUGUCAAUGAAAGAGGUUUUGAAAACAGUUUUGAUGCUGGCAGUAGUUCAGGAAAACAACAAAUGGGUCAGCUGGACAUAAACUCAUCUGCAAUUGAUAGAGAUGUCAAUGGGAAAGAAGGCUUCCUAGCAAAUAUUAGAGUUGUGGUAUGCCUCGUUUCAUAGCCAUAUGGUAGAGGUGUUUAGGUCAAUGAUAGUAGAUGUUUAUUUUUUAUCUGUCUAUAACCAGCAACUUAAUGCAAUCAGUUCUCAUAAUAAUUUAAAUUUCAAAUGUAAUGUUCAUUUAUAUAAUAUAUUGGUUCAUUUAGAGUCGUGAGUUGUGGUAUGCCACGUUUCCUAGCCAUAUCUAGAGAUGUUGUAGGUCAAUGAUAGUAGAUGUUUAUUUUUUAUUUGUCUAUAAUCGGCAAGUUAAUGCAAUCUUUUCUCAUAAUAAUUUAAAUGUCAAAUAUGAUGUAAUAUAUCGGUUCAUUCAUUGUGUAUUGAUAUUCCUUACAUUUGAACCAUAAAUUUGCUAAUUUAUCAACUGCUGUGAAAUUGCAUGAAUGAUGACAGUUGUCAUCUAAAAUGUUGAUGGUAAGGAAAAGGCCCUUUGUUUGUCGCUACUGAGCUUUUUGAAUCCCUUUCUAAACAUUUAUUAUCAACUAGGAAGUUUGCAGUCAAUAGUGUCGGUAUAUGUAGUCCGUUGAUUUUAAUAAAUCAAGACACACUGUAUUGAUCCAUUGAGUAAAAAAUGUUGCUGUAGAAUGGCCGUUGUGAAUAGUGUUAUCUUCUUUUACAGAUGUUUUCUUCCCUACCGUGAAUGUCCAUUAGAUUAGACUUCUUUGUCAAUGUUUUGUUGUAAAAGAAGAGGCAGAGAAGAGGAGGUAGCAACACUGGAAUGAGAAGAGGAGGCCACACAGGAAUGAGAAAGGCAGAAUUCGUCUUCUUAUUACCAGGGCCAGUAUGAUGUUUGUCACCACUUGCAUCUGUACUACUAGAUGCAUUGUGCUGCAUGGUGGAGGUUUGUUCACACUGUACGUGUGGAUAAGAUAUUUGCUUCAGCAUGAGACAUUAAGGGAAUUUUGCAGGUGUUCAGAUCUGCCCCCCUCUCGCAUGUUUUCUGUUUGCUUCCCCCUCCAGUCUUCAGAUCUUACUUUCACAUGAAUUGGUGAUUGAAGAAAUGGUCCGAGUUUUGCCACUUGUCUGGACAAAUCUGUUGGUGGUCUCCUUUGCUGAUUGGGACAAUUUUAUACUUGUGAAAUUGUUCAGCAAUGGGCUUCUUUUCCUUAAUACUCGAGGGACUGUUAUAGAUGGGAUGCUCGAUUUGAUUGGUGCUUCUUUGGGGCUGGUAUUUUAUGGUGUUGCAGUUUGACAGCUUGUUUCAAGUUUGCAGCAAUAUUGAUACUUUCAUGGUUUCUGUUUGGUUUCUGUUUUGCUGUAGCUUUAAUCUUUUCAGGUUCAACUUUUGAGAGUUCUUGCAAUCUGCAAUUUUGUCUUUGUUUCUUCUCCAAUGACAUAGAUAUAAAAUCAGCUCAAAACACUGGGCGAAUCA